rnacentral:rRNA from 1 species
UGAGUGAAUAUUGGACAAUGGGCGCAAGCCUGAUCCAGCCAUGCCGCGUGCAGUGAUGACGUGUCCUAUGGAUUGUAAACUGCUUUUGUACAGGAAGAAACACUCCCUCGUGAGUGGAGCUUGACGGUACUGUAAGAAUAAGGAUCGGCUAACUCCGUGCCAGCAGCCGCGGUAAUA